rnacentral:lncRNA from 1 species
UAAUCUAGGAAUUAUAAACUAUAAUCCCUAAUUCUUCAAAACACACAAACCUCCCAAGUUUAGUGUUCCAAAGUCUUCAAAUUUCCAAACUUGAAGAUAAUAAUCCUACUUCAAUUUACACUUCACUGAAACUAGAAUUACAUUAAUAUUACAACUCAAGAACCAACCUAAUACAUAUAAACUGAGACACCUUAUUUUCUAAGUACAAAAACCAGGUUCAACUAUGUGUUUCUUCAAGCUGUGAACUGCUUAGUCAAAUUUCCAAACGCCUUUUGCUUUGUAAGUGUGUGAGUGACUGUGCAAGUCACUCCCUCUAUUUAAACAUGACUCUCUAAAGAGUCCUCCAUCAGAUGUGACUUCUAUCUCAAGUGAAACCCUCUAUUCUUCAGUGUUUGUUAUGAAGUAGAAGUCCUUCUUGAAGUUGAUCACCUUGUUGAGGUAAAACUCCUUUUCAACUCAACCUCUCUUUUCUUCAAGUUUUGGAAUCAAACUCAACUUUUUCCUUAACACAAGUGAUGCUCAUCUUAUCAGAAGUAUGCAUUCUAAUCCAUACCUAAUUUCAAGCAACCUUGUUUUCAUGUACCAGUGAACUUGAUCUGUAUAUAGUGAACUAUGUGGGUUGACCAGUUUGAGUAACAUGUUUCAUUCAUUUUGCAAUUAUCAAAACUUCAUUGAUCUAACUAAUUCCCCUUUUUGAUGAUGACAAAACACUGCUUUGUGCAUCCACCACAGAUUCCUAAAACACUUAAGCAAGAAACACUACUAGAAUGAAACAUAUUAAAUAUUGAGUUAUAAUCAUUGUACAACCACUACUUUCUCUUUUUGACAUUAUCAUAAAGCUGGUCCAUGAAUGAAAAUAGGAAAAACAUUAUUAACCCAAUCAAAGCCACUAUGGCAGCCAACAAAUAACCAGAAUGAACAAGAAGUAACAUAACCAAGUAAAGAUGCAAAUCAAGAGGGACAAGUAAUCACAAUAAAAACCAGUCCAUUCAUUUAUCAAAAUAUGACUUACAACUGAUCAUGAGAAACAUAAAUAGAUGGGACCUAGGUGGAAUAAAAAAAAGGUAGGACAAAAGAGUAUUGGAAUGUUGACACCUAAUUUUUGCCUUCCACGACUAAGUUUAAUUUUGAGUGUCUUCGAUUUUAAAUAAAAUUACAACAUUUAUUUUAUUCACAUAAAAUAACGUUGCAAGGUUUUAAUUUAUUUAUUUUGAGUAACGAUUAUAUACUCUUGUAUUUACAAGAUUGUAUAAUUUUAUUUUUUAAAUAAUCAUUUUACGAAAAUUUAAAUUUUAAUCAAAGGAUAUCUUGAAAGUUGAUUGAAAUGGUCAAAGUCUUGAUUUAAUAUAUUUUUUUGUCAAAGAAAUAUGUGUUUGAUUUUAUCAAACAAAGAAACUCAAUUUAAAUUGGGCGUUAAUUCAUGUCCAAUUACAAUUUCAUUUAGCCAAUUUAUUAAAUUUACCCAUUAUUGAAAUUAAAUUGACCACAAUUGCAAUACAAUUGGCCAGUUGAUUUUUAAAAUUGACCAAAAAUUAAAUGAAUUGCUAAAUCUCAAUGGAAUUAUUUAAAAAGAAUAUAUACUCCGAUGCCCAUUUCCACAAGCAGCCCAAAACCCUAAAUCUAUUUCAUAAAUUAGUUAUCCGCCUAUACCCGCACCCCCCUACAAAUGGUAUCAGAGCCUAGUUAUUUAAAAAGUACAUCAGUGAGAUAUAUGUUAGAUAUGUUAGAAUUUAUCUAUGUUUAUUGAAUUAAUUAUGAGAAGAUCAUUUAAAAAUAGAGAAGCUUUUAGAAAAAUUAAAGAAUCUUUAAUUAGUAAUUAUUCAGAAUAUAUAAGUCUAAAUAAAACAAAAGAAAACCCACAAAGAUUAGCCUACCUAAUUACCUUAAUAUCUAGUAUUGAAGCAAAACUAAUAAUCCAUUUAAAAUCUAGAAGAAUGAGACACAUACCACCUAAUUAUGAUAAAAUCAGAUUUAGAUAUCCACCAAAAUAUUAUAAAUAUGGUUUAAAUGAAUAAAGUACAAAAAUACAAAGAACUAAAAUAAAUUAUUUCUGAAAAACGUAAAGAAUUAAAAAUAAGAAUAGAAAGACAACAUUAUAAUAUAUUUGCCGGAGUUAGUGAAAAUUCAAUAAAUACACAAAAAGAUGAAAUACCAAAAUUAGAAUCACAAAUAGAUUGUUUAGAAUAUAUAUAUCAACAUGAACUAUUCACAAUAAAAUGAACAAAGAAGAAUUUAUAAUAGAUGAAAAAAUAUAUGAAAAUCACGAAGGAUUAAAAAUAAAAAUAGUAUUUUCUAAUCUAGGAAGAAGAUAUAAGAAAAUAGGUGAACAUUUAUAUCUAAUGUUAGAAAAAGAAGAAUUAAAAUUAGAAGAUAAAUUAACAGCAAUGGUAAGAAUAGAAAAAGAAAAUGAAGAGAUAGAUAGGAAAAAAGAAAUAGAAAAAAUAAAACAACAAACUACGGAAGAAAUACGAAAAAUAGAAGAAACCAAAAAUAGUAGAAUUGCUGAAUUAGAAAAAGAAUUACAAAUGUUAAAAGAACUGUAUGAACAAAGACAAAAAGAAAAAGAAGAAAAAGAUAGAGAACAAAAAUUACUAAAUGAGAUAAAUCAAUUUAAGGAAAAAUUAGAAAUAAAAAACGAAGAAUUAGAAAUAAAUAAUAUAGAUAUUGAAGAGACAGAUAAUUAUGAGUCCGAAGAUAGUGAAACAUAUACAGAAAUAUUAACAAACACAAAAAAUUUAGAAAUCAAUGAAAAACAAGAACUAAUUAACGAGGAAAACUUAGAAAGUACCAACACAGAAAUCAAUACUCUUGAUAAAAAAGUAGAUGAAAAUAUAAUACCUAAAACAGCAGAAAUAAGAAAACCUGCAUAUUAUAAGAAUAAGUUUAAAAAGUAUAAUGAAUAUGACAAAUGGACACCAAAACAAAUAGUUAAUAAAAAUUAUAACUUUUUAGACCUAGACUGUGUAAUAGAUACAGAAAAAACAAUACAAUUAUGGAUAGGAUAUAUGACAAAACAAUUAUUAGAUAAUAGUAUAAAUAUAACAGAUGCACCGGAAUAUAUAGAAAAAACACUAAUAGGAUCAGUAAAACUAUGGUUUGCAAAUCUAACCGAAAAUAGCAAAAAAGUAUUAAGAACUAAUAAACCUAUAGAAGGAACAUCAUCAACAACAACUAAACUAACACCUAUAGAAUUAUUAAAAAAAUUGAAACAACUAUAAAAGAUGAAUUUGGUAGUAUGGCAGCAAUAGAAGAAGAACAAGAUGAAGAAAAAGAUACAAAUAAGAAUUUAAUGUAAAAUUAGCAAUAUGCAAUAUGUGUUAUAUAGAUGAAUACACUUGUGCAUUUAAAGAAUAUUAUUAUAAAGGAGCUUAUAAUAUAGAAGAAAGUAAAGAAAUAAGAAAAUUAUAUUUUAAUAAAUUACCCGAGCCAUUUAGUUCGAAAAUAAUAAAAAGUUGGGAAGAAGCAAAAAUAGUAGAUACGUUAGGAGCAAGAAUAAAAUAUUUACAACAAUGGUAUAGAAACUUAUGUGAAAAAUAUAGAGAAGAAUUAAAAAUGGAAAAAACAUUAAUAAGAAAAUUUAGCAUGUUGUAAAAAUAAAAUAGCACCCCAAUUUGGAUGUGAAGGAAGAUAUUAUAAGAAAAGAAAAAGACAUAAGAAAUAUAAGAAAUAUAAAAAAUCAAAAUAUAAAUACAAGAAACCAAGAAAAAGAUAUUAUGUAAAAAAUUAUAAACAUAAAAGACCAUAUAGAAAGAAGAAAUCUAUAAAAGAAUGUACUUGUUAUAAUUGUGGAAAGUUAGGACAUUUAGCUAGAGAUUGUAAAUUACCUAAAAAUCCAAAAAAUAAACAAAUAUCAGAAAUAAAAAUAGAAAAUACCGAAUACAUGCAGAUAGAUUAUAUAGAUUAUGAAUUAGAAAGUGAAGAUAGUAUAUAUGAAAUUUCAGAAAACGAAACAGAUAAUGAAAUAGAUAGCGAAAUAGAUGAAUCAAAUGACUGAAGAAGAUAUAAAAAUAAUAACAAAGGAAGAAUAUUUAAAUGAUGAAGGAACGGAACAAAAGAUAAUAUUUGACAGUAAUAUAUUUGAUGAAAUAAAAGGAAAAGAAUUAGAUUUAAGUGUAGAAAAAAUAUUUAAAAUACCAACAAUAAAAAAUAUUUUUACUAGGAAAAAAGAUGAAUAUUAUGUAGUAUGCCAAAAAGAACAUGUAAUAGAUUGCAGAUAUGCAAAAGGAAAAGCUAGUAUACCACUAGUAACAAAAAGAAUAAUUAAUAAAGAAAUAAAUGAUAUAAAAAGUAAAGGAGAUCCAAUAAAAUAUGUACACCUUGGAGGUACAGAGAUAUUAAUAAAAGCAUGUUUUAGAGAAGGAAUAGAUACACCAAUAGAAUUAUAUUUAGCAGACGAUAGAAUUAUAAAACCUAUAGAAAAAAGCAUAAUAACUGCCGUAAAAGGAAAUCUAAUAUACCAAAAAUUUAAAUUUAUAAUAAGUGCAAAUUAUUCAGUAGCAGUAACAGAUAGGAAUAUAGAUAAAUCAUUAGUAUUAUAUUGGAAAAUAUCAGGAAUAGAAUUAACCCCAGGAAGUAAAAUAUUUACAGCAAGAUGUAAAAAUCUAUAUGUAUUAACAACAAAACAUAAAAUAACAGGAAAAAAUAAGAUUAACAAAAUACAAAUAGAAAGCCCAUUCGAACAAAUAGUAAAAACAAUAGAUUAUAAUGAUUAUACCUAUAGAGACAUAGAUACAGAAGAAAAUUUAGAAAUAGUAAAUGAUAGAAUAAGUACAACGAAAAGAAUAGCUAAUGAAAAGCCAGAAUCAUCAAGCUCAUCAAAAAGAACAAGUUAUGAAACAAAUUCAAUAAGUAAUUUAAACCAAUAUUACAUAACGGGAAAAAUAAAUGAAAAAGAAUAUUUAAUACUUUUGAAUACAGGACAAGAAGAAAAUCAUAUAGCAAAAUAUCUAGUAAAAAAUGAAGAAAUAAAAACUGACAAUGAUAUAUGCCCAGAUCUACCAAGAAGUUUAAUAAAUAAUAAAAAUAUAGCAGAAAAAGAAAUAAUGUUAGGAGUUAGAAAAAUAAAAAUAGAAUUCGAAGUAAAGGAAGAAAUGCAAAAAGCAGAUAUAAUAUUAGGAAUAAAAUGGUUAGAACAAGUAAAACCAUAUAAUAUAGAACAUACACAAUUAACCUUAACAUAUAACCAAGAAAAGUUAUUCUUAAAAAGAGCCUUAACAUGAAAUGAAGAUACAUGUAUUAAUGAAGAUAGUAGUAGAAGGAUAUUACAGUAGAUAUUAUACGCCUAUGAUAGAUACAGGAGCAGAAGCUAAUUUAUGUAGAUAUAAUUGCUUACCAGAAAGCAAAUGGGAUAAACUAAAAACACCAAUAAUAGUUAAAGGAUUUAAUAAUGAAGGAAGCUUAAUUACUUAUAAAGCUAGGAAUGUAAAAAUACAAGUAUGGGAUAAGAUAUUAACAAUAGAAGAAAUUUAUAAUUAUGAAUUAACAUCAAAAGAUAUACUUUUAGGAAUGCCAUUUUUAGAUAAAUUAUACCCACAUAUAAUAACCAAAACAGACUGGUGGUUUACAACACCAUGCAAACAAAAAGUAAGAGCAAAAAGAGUUAAUAAUAAAAUAAGAAAGAAAACUGAUUGGAUAAAAGGAAGUGAAAAAAUUACACAAAAGUUAGAAAAUAUAAACAAUACUGAAGAUACAGUAGAACUAGUAGUAUUUUCGAUAAAUAAAACAGAAAUAACUAUAUUUUCAAUAAAUAAAAUAGAAAUAAUUCAGAAAAAAUUAGAACAAUUAUAUAGUGAAGAUCCAUUAAAAGGAUGGGAAAAACACAAAACUACUAUAAAAAUUGAAUUAAUAGAUAAGAAUAGCAUAAUAACACAAAAACCAUUAACAUAUAAUUUUGAUGAUUUAAAAGAAUUUAAAAUGCACAUAGAUGAAUUAUUAGAAAAACAAUAUAUACAAAAAAGUAAUAGUAAACAUAAUAGUCCAGCAUUUAUAGUAAAUAAACAUAGUGAACAAAAAAGAGGAAAAAGUAGGAUGGUUAUUGACUAUAGAAAUUUAAAUGCAAAAACUAUAACAUAUAAUUAUCCGAUACCAAAUAAGAUAUUAAAAAUAAGACAAAUCCAAGGAUAUAAUUAUUUUAGCAAAUUUGAUUGUAAAUCAGGAUUUUACCACCUAAAGCUAGAAGAAGAAUCUAAAGAAUUAACCGCAUUUACGGUACCACAAGGAUUUUAUGAAUGGAACGUGUUACCAUUUGGAUAUAAAAAUGCACCAGGUAGAUAUCAACAUUUUAUGGAUAAUUAUUUUAAACAAUUAUCUAAUUGUAUAGUAUACAUAGAUGAUAUAUUAUUAUACACCAAAACCAAAGAAGAACAUUUAAAAUUAUUAGAACAAUUCACAGAUAUAAUAGAAAAAUCAGGAAUAAGUCUAAGCAAAAAGAAAGCUGAAAUUAUGAAAAACCAGAUAGAAUUUUUAGGAAUACAAAUAGAUAAAAGUGGAGUAAAAAUGCAACAACAUAUAGUACAAAAAAUAAUAAAUUCGAAAGAAGAAUUAGAUACAAAAAAGAAAUUACAAUCAUUUUUAGGAUUAGUAAACCAAGUAAGAGAAUAUAUUCCAAAAUUAGCAGAAACCUUAAAACCACUGCAGAAAAAAUUAAAAAAGGAUAUAGAAUAUAAUUAUGAUGAAAAAGAUAAAAAACAAGUUCAAAAAAUAAAAUUACUUUGUAGAGAAUUACCAAAAUUGCAAUUUCCAGAUGAAAAUAGAAAAUUUAUAUAUAUAGUAGAAGCAGAUGCAAGUGAAUAUAGUUACGGAGGAGUACUUAAAUAUCGAUAUGAAGCAGAAAAAAUAGAACACCAUUGUAGAUACUACUCAGGUACGUUCAACGAGACAGAAAUAAAAUGGGAAAUAAAUAGGAAAGAAUUAUGUUCAUUAUAUAAAUGUUUAUUAGCAUUUGAGCCAUAUAUUGUAUAUAACAAAUUUAUUGUACGAACAGAUAAUACACAGGUACGCUGGUGGUUAACAAAGAAAAUACAAAAUUCAGUUACAACAAAAGAGAUUCGAAGACUAGUUUUAAAUAUAUUAAAUUUCACAUUUACAAUUGAAGUGAUCAGUACUAACAAAAAUGUUAUUGCAGAUUACAUAUCAAGACAAAGCUACACAGACUGAAAUAGUAGAGGAAGAUACUCUAGAAAAAAUACUUAACACCCUAACUACGCUUUCAAUGAAAGUGGACAGUAUGGGUAAUGAGAUAGAAAAGCUAAAGACUAAUGAAGAUAAACUGAAGUCUAUAGCUACAAAUCAGCUAACUCAGCAGUGUGCAGAGCUAUGUCGACCGGAAGACAUUAAAAAUCCAGAGCUAGAAGGAGACGUUGGGACACUCCAUAAAACCCAUAACAUUUAUCAAUCUACUUCUGCAGGUACAAGCAAAGGAGUUAAUAGACCAAGAUACCAGAAUGUAAAUAUGAACAAAAUAUUUGAAAAACCAUUUACCCCAAAAGCACAAAAAGACCAUUUAUUCAUACCCCCACAAGUUAACACAUACCGAGACAGCCUAAACCAAGACAAGAAAAUAUACAACUACACAGCCCAAAAAUACAUAGAAAAUAUAUAUAGAGUCCAAACCUUUCUAAACCAUAACCCCAGAGCUACAAAUAUCCAAGAACCAAAUACCAAUUAUAUAACCCAAAAACUACAAGGAUACAAUAAACUGAUAGCACUACCCAAAACUAACCCAAGCCUAGUUAAAACCUGUUUUGACUAUGGACUACUAAAUACCAUAUACACCCAAGACGGAGAAGAGCUAACAGCUAUGGAGGAAUUAUACAAGAUAUUCACUACCUACAAAAGAAUAAAAAAAGGAAAUUUAUUUUAUAUAAAGUGUUAUACUGCACCAGCAGAGAUAUUAUAUGAUGAAAUAAAACCAGUGAUACAGGUUGUAAAGAUAGGACUGACAAGAGAUAUGAUUAUACCAGAAGAUAUUUCGCAACAACCAGAGAUACCUAGAAUCGAGAUACCAGAUUUUUAUGCAAAUAAAAGACUUAUUGGACUAGCUACGAUCAUACAAGAACUAGCAAAUAACUACGCUAACGGAAAUCCAAUAUGGAGCUACUAUUCAAGAGAUCACCAAAUGAUAUAUUCAAAUUCGAAAGAACUAAGACAAGCAGAUAUGGAAGACGUAAGACAAUGGAUACUGACGCUACUUAACCCAGAAAAACAAUCUACCGCGAAAAAUAGGACUAACCAGAGAUAUGAUCAUACUAGAAGAUAUUACACAGCAACAGGAGAUACCCAAAAUUGAGAUACCCGAUUUCUACGCAAAUAAACGACUCAUUGGACUAGCUACGAUUAUCCUAGAAUUAACAAAUAAUUAUACUAAUAGAAACCCAAUAUGGAGCUAUUAUUCGAGAGACCAUCAAAUGAUUUAUUCAAAUUCAAAAGAGCUACGACAAGCAGAUAUGGAAAAUGUUAGGUAAUGGAUAAUGACAUUACUUAACCUAGAAAAAAAAUCUACCGCAAGAGCAAUUAAAAAAGGAUUUAUUUCAGACGGAUUACUGACAAGAUAUUGUAAAAUAAUUGGACACAAAUAUCCAGAUCAUCAAUGUUCAAGAUGUAAUAGAGAAGAUAACAUUAUUCCAGAAGUACACCUAGAAUAAAAAUCAAGAAGAUGGACAUGCCAGCUGGAAAGAUAAGAUAAGAAACAACUGAUACGACAACGAGAAGACACCAAUGGAAGAAGACAAGAUAUUAAAUUAUUUACGUAAAAUUGUUAGAAUUGUCAGUUUUUAUUGUAUAGACUUUUCUUAGCCUCCUAACCUUUUUUAAAGGCUAUGGCACUAAGUUUUUAUUGUAUAGACUUCUUUUUUAGACUCCUAGCCUUUUUGACUUUUCAAAAGGCUAUGGCUCUUAGGAUUCUAGUCUUAGAAUUUUUUAAACGUGUAAAGACUCAUGUAAG